AUUUCAUACCCACACGCGCAGGCUUUCUUCUUCCCUUCCUCGGUGCCGAAUAGAUUUCACACUUAGCGAAUUUCAGAAAGUUAGGGCACAACUCAUUCUUCGACGCGAUUUCUCAAUCAGCAGACGCGACGUACUGGGCGAAGGUGGGAUCGAGGAGGUUAAUCGGCACCGGCGUCCAGGGAAAGAUAACAACACGCACAGCCGCGGGGCUGACAGCUGAGAUGCACCCAGCCUGGCUCGCUGUCGUCUGCAGGAAAGGGAGGGUAAGAGGUUGUUUUCUUCACUCUUCGGGAACAAGGAAGGUUGGAUUCUUGUGUUGGGCCUCGACAAUGCCGGAAAGACCACCAUUCUUUCUAUUGGUUUUCGCAGAUCGACUUCAGAUGGGAGAAGUAGUGUCUACUAUUCCAACUAUUGGGUUCAAUGUGGAAACAGUGCAAUAUAACAACAUAAAGUUCCAAGUUUGGGAUUUAGGCGGGCGGCCAGUAUCAAGUAACUAAUUACUCAAAAAAGUUCCAAGCCAUACUGGAGGUGCUACUUUCCCAAUACUCAAGCGAUAAUAUAUGUUAGUGAUUCAAGUGAUACUGAUAGACUAGUGGUUGCCAAGGAAGAAUUCCAUGCAAUAUUGGAGGUGAUAUUUCCAUUUAUGUAUUAUCAGAAGAAAGUUCAUCACCUAUAUAUUUCAAAGGGGAUGUUCUUGUUCCGUUUUACACCAAGGUUAAUGGAAGAUCAAAUAAGCUAAACUUUAUGUUACUGGACAGAUCUUAAGAAUGUAAUGAAAAUAUUUUUUUAUUUCAUAUGUCACCAUCACAUAUUCAUGGUAAACAACUUGCUUGUGCUUGGCUUCAACAGGUAUGUUGUCCCGAUUAUGGUACUUUUAGUUGUCAAAGGUUAACAAUGUUCUCAUUAAUUGUGAAGCUUUAAAUUUCAAGAACAUAAUCAGAAUUAGAGUGAUGAUUUUUUAAUAAACACUUUAGUAGUUUUUGUAAAAUAUUGAAUGGCCACUGUUUGCAUAAUUUUGCUGCACAUGAUCCUUUGAAGUUCUCUGAGUGUUCUUACAGUAAGUUCCUACCUAGGUGGCCCUGGAACUUGAACCAGUACUUAACAGUUUGUUUACCUUUAGCUUUGGUUUUUUAUAUUUUAGGCCUUGGCAGUUUUGUUUUCAACUUAAAUAGAAAUGAAAAAUGGUUCUUGUUUCUAGCUGUUUUAAUUUUCCCUACAUCAGUUAAACUGUUUGUUUAAACUCCUGAUGAUAUUUGUUAAUGAUUGACUGUACUUUCCUCUUUCUUAUAUGGAAUUACAUUGGUCCCAUGCCAAGAGGAAGAGCUAAAAGGCGCCGUUGCCCUCUUGUUUGCUAACAAGCAGGAUCUUCCUGGAGCAAUGGAUGAUGCUUCGAUAAUUGAGGCCUUAGAGUUGCACAAAAUUAAGAAUCGGUAAUGGGCUAUCUUCAAAACUUCCGCCAUAAAGGGAGAGGGCCUCUUUGAGGGCCUAGACCGGUGGCACACUUUCCCUGGUCAAGGUCUUCGUGACAUCCGCCUCAGUCCCGGACACACCCCUUAUUUUGCCGACCAUUGCUGGGGCGACUACCCUUUGCGAUGUCGUUGGUGAAGAUCCUAUUGAGUGGAACUACAAGGAUCUCAUGCACCGCCCCUGAAGCGUAUCUACCGAUUCACCCAUGUUAGUUGCCCCGUUUGUCUUAUGGAAUGUAUGUCAUACCUGUUUUCGGAUGGAUUGUGUUGAGGCUGUGUGAACGAUAUGUGGAAUUGAUGCAUAGACCAUUGGAGUUUUAAUUCGUGUGGUGAAAGAUGUGGUUAUGGAUUGAUGGAUAUCCGUACUUGCUUAUUGUUAGGUUUGGUGUUUGAACUGUUAAGCCCGUUUUGCGGAACAGGAUGUUGAUGUGUAGUGCUUGCUAGGCUUGUUUUAUGGGUUGCUUUACUUCGUUGUUAGGUAUGGAGAUUGUCAAGUAAAAUCUGUGGUGUCCAUGGGCCUUAAUGUUGGGAUUCAGAUUUUACUAUGAAUUAAUGUUUGCAUGUAUUGCCAAUGAUGAUAUGUUUAUAGCAUUAUGUGUAUACGGAAUUUCUUUCGGUA